rnacentral:snRNA from 1 species
GUGCUCACUUCAGCAGCACAUAUACUAAAACUGGAACAAUACAGAAAAAAUUAGCAUGGCCCUUGUGCAAGGAUGACAUGCAAAUUCAUGAAGUGCUUCAUAAUUUU